GGCAUCCGCGAGAACGGUCCACUGUGUCGAAAACACCCACAUCGCUACUCAGUGCACGAAUAUACGAACUUUAGUGAUAAUCUGUGCUAGCAUGAACAUGGAUAUCGUCACUCUGGAUCCUACUGGACUCUACUAGAUUAAAAACAAGAUGGACGUCCUGACCCUGGACCCCACUGGUCAAUACUGACCGUUAUGACUGCUGUCAGCCUGGAUCCCACUGGUCUGUAUUAUAACCUAUUAGAAUCUUAUACAAAAUGGACGUCAAAGUACUCGAUCCUACCGGCCAGUAUUGAAACUUUCAAAAUGAACGGCCUGGACCCAACAGAAAUCUACUAAUUCUCACCCAUCUUCAAUGGUACAAGAUGUGUUGCGGAAGGCGGAGAAUAUUGACAGGCACCCGUCCAGAAGAAACAUCAUCCUGUAGGAAAAGAAGGCUUAAAACGAUAUCCUUCACUUGACUGAUCAACAACAACUCAUUGCAACUGUAAAUAGUAUGAAUAAAUUGAAGGGGGACAUGCCCACAAGGUCAUUGGAUGGAAAUCAGCUGACUCGCGUGCCGCGUGCAAUCCGGAAAUGUACACCUAUAGGAACAUUGCCAAUUUGCAACAAGAAAAAACAACAGCUUAUUGAACACAGCAGAUUCCAAAUUUGAAUUUAAUGUGUAUGGAAAUAAUGGGCAACUGCUUCGCACACGUCGCUGCUUCUCUCCACGAAUUUGGACUUCGUUCGAUUUUCGGGCUUUCUCUAUAAAAUAUCCGAUGGUCCCAUACAAUCGUCUCAAUACUCACUAGAUUAUAGUAUAUGACUGAUAUAAUUAUUCUCUCGUAGUAAUGCAACAUCUUUCAUGCAUUUGUAUUUUUAUUUAAAUUAUUUAAAGUAUAAAAUUAAGAUGUAGCUUUGCUGAUGUAAAAAUGUGUCUUAAGAUUUUGAAUUUUGUUUUUAAGACUGUGAAAUUCAGAUAGGAUGGCAUUUUAUAUUAUUUUUUGUUAGUGAAGUGACAUCGUAAGUAGGUUAAGAAAUCACAUAAUGACAAGCAAAAAGAGGCAAAGGGUUUUUUGAAUGGUUUUCUUUAUUUUCGUUGUACAUUAUUUUGAGAAACCUUCAAAAAUUUUCCGUUUUUAUUUAUAGAAAAACUCGUAUAUUAGUGAUAGAAUAUUUAACUUUUGACGUUUCGAUUCAAUUGUAUACGUAACUUCCAACAAUUCCAGUUACCAUGUUAUGACCUUCAGCUUUGAUGAAAUGUAAAUAAGUUGCAACGCUUAUCUUAUGCUCCUCUCUCUAUAAAACUAUUAAAGUUUUUUAACUUAAACUGUAUUGUUUUUAAUUUUUAGGUUAAACUCUCAUUUAUACAAUUAAUUGCUUAAUUCAGUGUUGCCAAUUAAGACUGAAUUAUUUAAUAAUGAAUAUUCAAUUCAUUAGAAGCUCAAAAGUAAUAUCCUUUUUCUUAAUAAAAGGCCCAGAAAGGAUCCCACCCUAGGUUAGCCUAAAUUUUAUUCCUUGUAAGUAAUUACGGCAUAGAUAUUAGGGGAUAACAGAGAUGUUAAUAAUAUAAUAUUAUUAAUUAUAA